UUUACUCAGGGUUCUCAAAGCUCUAUACGAUUAGCUCCAGUCUACGUGCGAUUAUUGGAGAGAAUGCACCAGUCAGGUUAAAGAUCAUUAGAGGAAUGUGUCAUGACAAUUCUCAACCACAAACAACAUUGGUUCGCAGAAGAAACCAACCUCACGUUUCAUUAUCCAGAGAUUGCCUCUAAAAUAGGAUGGCUCCCAGUACCACUAAAAUGGGGAAGCUCUUGGAGUUGGGGACAAAUAUUUCAUGGUCACAAACACAUUUAUAAAUUCCAGGUCUUUAAAAUCACUGUAUGAUCCACAUUUUGAAAUGAAAAGUCCAAAAGACAUUGCCAGUCAAAAUAAAGCCCAAAACAAAACAAAACAAAACCAGAAUACAUCCUAUCUAUUCUUUCUGAGAAGCAUACUAGCUGUUUGGGAGACCUUACCCAAUAUCCUGUGGGCCAUAUUUGACCAGAGCACUGGUAGCAGCCAUGUUUUUGAAGUGAUCUCCAUCAUUGCUGCAUUUAAAUUUUACUAUUCUGGAAACCUGUUUAAAUUGGAAAAACUACAUUAUAUAAGCUAUGAUUUGAAUGGUUCUGUUCAUUGUGUUCUGUAUCUCCUAGGGUUUAAAAGAAGGGUAGGUCUGUGUAUUGUGUGGAUGUGAAUUUCCUUGGAAGAAGUAUGGCAAUGACACAAUUUGUAAAAAUAAAACAAAAGAAAAUAUAA